rnacentral:rRNA from 1 species
AUACGUAGGGGGCAAGCGUUAUCCGGAUUUACUGGGUGUAAAGGGAGCGUAGACGGAGAGGCAAGUCUGAUGUGAAAGCCCGGGGCUCAACCCCGGGACUGCAUUGGAAACUGUUUAUCUAGAGUGCCGGAGGGGUAAGCGGAAUUCCUAGUGUAGCGGUGAAAUGCGUAGAUAUUAGGAGGAACACCAGUGGCGAAGGCGGCUUACUGGACGGUAACUGACGUUGAGGCUCGAAAGCGUGGGGAGC